ACGGGUGAGUAACACGUGGGCAAUCUCCCCCAAGGUGAGGAAUACCGGCGAGAAAUCGCCGACAAUACCGCAUACGCUUCGCAAGAAGCAAAGCUCGUAAGAGCGCCAUGGGAUGAGCCUGCGGCCGAUUAGCUAGUUGGUGAGGUAAAGGCCCACCAAGGCGACGAUCGGUAGCUGGUCUGAGAGGAUGGACAGCCACACUGGGAUUGAGAACGGCCCAGACUCCUACGGGGGGCAGCAGUGAGGAAUUUUCGUCAAUGGGGGAAACCCUGAACGAGCAACGCCGCGUGCAGGAAGAAGGUUUUCGGAUCGUAAACUGCUUUUCUGUGGGAAGAGAACGGACGGUACCACAGGAAGAAGCCCCGGCUAACUACGUGCCAGCAGCCGCGGUAAUACGUAGGGGGCAAGCGUUGUCCGGAUUUAUUGGGCGUAAAGCGCACGCAGGCGGUCUGCCAAGUUCGUGAUGACAGCUCCCGGCUCAACUGGGAGAGGCAUGCGAAAACUGACAGACUUGAGGGCUUCAGAGGAAUGCGGAAUUCCGGGUGGAGUGGUGAAAUACGUAGA
rnacentral:rRNA from 1 species